UGAAUGCAAAGCAUAAACAAAACGUGAAAAAGAAGAGGCAAAUACCCACAAACACUACAAUGGCUAUGAAUGAUAAUUAGUUUGAUGGGUAGAAAAAUAAAUGGAUAGACAAGGGUAAUUAAUUUGAUUUAUGGGUAAAACUAUAAAACUCCCAAUUUUGUUUGAGGUCAGCCCAGGAGCAGAAAAAUGCCCUAGUCAAAGAACGCCACUUUAGGUGUAUCUACAGUUUCUCCUCCAAACCCAACUAUGGCAAACAGCAAUGCUGCUGCAAAAAUACCUUAAGAAAUCAUAUAUGACAUAUUUACCCGGCUGCCUGCUAAGUCCGUUGGUCAAUUUAGGUGUGUAUCAAAGUACUGGUGUUCUCUUCUCUCAGACCCAAAAUUCAUCAAAAUUCACCUCACUCUCCAUUCCCACAAACAUUUAGUAGAUAAGCUCAUUGUUGCUAGUCAUUUUCUUCGCACUAUCACCUUUACCCACGACGCCCAAGGUGAAAUUGAUGUCAUAUCAAGAAAGCUUGAUCUGCAGCAGCUCUCAGACCACUGGUUAAGUGUUGAUGGCUCAUGUAAUGGCUUGGUCUUGGCGAUUCGUAGGGGAGAGGCUAAAUAUUUGAUCAACCCCACUACCUUAAAGUACCAUAAAAUUCCAAAUUUUGAUUUGGCUCUUCCUGUAUCAGAUAGCUGUAGCAUGUAUGGUUUUGGCUACGAUGUUGUUAAUGAUGAUUAUAAGGUGGUUGCUCUUUCUUACUAUGAUAUAGAUGAGCCUGAUAUAGUUGAUACUUUUGUGGAUAUUUACUCUUUGAGAAAGGGUCUUUGGAAGAGACUUGGGAGUUCCCCUUAUGAUCAUUCACUUACUGACCCUGCGUCUGGGGUUUUGGUAAAUGGGGCUUUGCAUUGGUUUGUUAGUAAAACUUCUAAUCAUCCAUGUGUACUUGUUGCUUUUGAUUUAAGUGAUGAGACAUUCUUGGAGUUGCCAGUACCUCCUACUGAUUACAAUUACUCUUUUUUUGAACUUGUGGCUCUUAGAGGGCGUCUUUGUAUGUUCACCAAAAGUAACACAAUAACAAUUUGUUUGAUGGAAAACUAUAACAUGUCUUGGACCGUACUUAGGCUUACGGUACCAAGUUUACAUGAUUCUCUUUGUACACCAUUGUGUUCAAUGACUGAUGAUGAUUUUGUAAUGGAGGUUGACGAAAAGUUGGUUGUCUACAACAUGAAAGAGGAUGAUUUGUGGGAUCUGGGGGUUGAUGUUAGUUGUGAUAUGCAUACAGCUCGAAACUUCAUAGAAAGUCUUGUCUGUCCUUCCUUUGGCAAUGGAACCGAGGGUUAAUAUAAUGCUUGAUGCGCGAAAUGGUUGUCUGUACAGUGUUCUCUCGUCUUUCUAAUGGUGAAUCGCCGAAGCCAAAUCCAUCUUGCGCAGAGGGGAGACGAUGAUCGAAGUCAGACUUGAGUAUGGGACGAGAACUCACUCAUUUUGAUCCCCUUGUUGACCAAGCAAGGUCGCACGAGAACACCUACGGAACACUCUCUUAUUGGUGGCACAUAUGCUGUCUCGAAAGGAAGUGUUAAAUGCUCCGUCUCUUCUCCGAAUCAUGAGCUAAUCUGUAAAUAAAGUAACUCAUCUUCUGUGCUUUACAUUUUUAAGCAAUGUGAGGGUAAAACUGCUAUCUAGCUGCUUUAAAUUCUGGAGAAGAAGUUUAUAUGGUCUAUCUCCUUGAUUUUGACCCUAAAGACUAUACAUCGACAUUUGGUAGUAAUUAUUGUUUAUAAAGGUAAUUAUGACAAAGCGAAUACUUGCUGAACUCUUGAUACAGAAAUAUGUUGUUAAUUUCAGAUUUUAAUUUACUUGCUACAAUAGGAGUUAAUUGUCCGCUGUAUUAUCCACCUUUAUCCUCUUUCUCCUAUAGAUUAUUCAAAUGCCUUUGUAUUUGCUUUGUCUAGAGAAACUAUGCUUGCAAUUCUGAUAAGUAAACUAUUUCUGCAGUAGUAUCAAGGAUGCACCUUGAGCGAAAUCAGUUACCUUUUUUAGGUAACCGGGAAAUCCCUGAGAGUGGCCCUCAUGGCCCAAAACUCAGUGGAUAAUGGGCCCGCCCCUCUACCCUUCUCCACUUAAAUAUCAGGCUUUUGUCUGCAUGUGGGUUCGAACCAGUGACAUGCGCCUAAGCCACACAUCACAAGCUAAUCUCUUACCAUACAUUUCUGGUUUUCAUAUUUUUUUCAAGCUGCUACAAAAUGAACAUAGUGUUAAAUGAGCAUAUUGGAGUUAAAAUUUUAAGUUUUUUAUGUUAUAUUCUCUAGUAUUAUUUAUAAAAACAUUAUAAUAUUAUCUUAAUUCUUAACUAUAUGAGAAUAUAACAUAAAAAUCUUAAAAUUUCAACUCUAAUAUGCUAAUUUAACACUAUGUCCCCCAAAAUCCCCAACGCCCCUGCAAAAAUUGGUUUAAUUAACUAGAAUUAAUAGUCGAGGGUAAAGGGCAUCAUUUCAUGGCUUUACAUUGGUUUCUUGAAUUGCCACAUAGAACCGUAUUGACACUGUUUUGAUGCUUGCAUAGGAAUUAAGUUUCUGCGGACAUGUCCUGGUGCACAAGGUAGGGGGUAAGGUCUGUGUACACACUACCCUCCCCAGACCCCACUAUGUGGGAUAUACGGGGUAUGUUGUUGUUGGACCUGUCCUGGUGAAUAUAUUGAAUGCAAUGUUGUGUUUGUGCAGAGGCCUCAAUCUCUAAAUAAUUUUAUAUCAACGGUGUUACUUCUUCAGUAUAAUGUUAUACAAUCAUUAUGAUUUCACAUCUGAAGAAAGAUCACCAUGAUCGGAGAGUUUUCAAGAGAGACUUACAUUUGUGGUUUGUAUCUGGUGAAGUACAAGUAUUGCAACACCAUCCGGAGAAAAGUCCCCUUUUGAGCAAACUUGAGAUUUAUUUGUCGAAUGUUAUAUCUCCGCUAAAUUUCUCAACAUUGGAAUGAUGUAUUUGCAUUAUGUUUUCCUAUCAUGUGAAAGCAGCAACAUUCUCCUUUAUAUUGCAGUACCAAAAAAUCUAACUUUGUUAUGUUUUAGCU